ACCAGUUUUAAUUUAGUUUUAAUAUAAAUAAAUACAUUUAUAUAAAUUUGUGACUGUCCAUUAUUUCAAAUUGAAUUUCUGCUAUUAUUACGGCUCAACUGCAGUACAUUCGAUAACCACCAGGGGGCCUGGUAAAACACUUUGUUUUAAAAUAUUGAAACAAUGUAUAUACUGUACAGUGUGUGUGCCACAGCACAGGAGCACCAUGGAUGACUGUACUCUCACCUUUUCUCUUCACCCUGUACACUCCUGACUUCCAGUAUAACUCACAGGGGUUAGAGAUUCUUGGAUAAGUCUGCAGCUGUGGGAUUUGCCAGAUGUGGGAACGAGACAGUACAGGGAACUUGUGGAUCACUAUUUGGAGUGAUCUCAACCAGGGAGAAAUGUUCCAUCUGGCAGUCCUCCAAGGCAUCAAUCCAACUUUUACUUUCGUCGUGUAGACUGACUGGACACAAAAAUCGAGAGGAGGUUUUAAAAAUAAAGCGAGGAUGAGGGUGCAUCUGAAGACUGACCAAGGAUUGCAGGGCCCUUACUGGUUCCAGGAACUGUUUUCAGCUGUUGGAUAACCUGCAUAUCAGCAGCUCUGAGUUUUCAGUUCCAGAAA